AAUUUAAUAUUUACAAUAAUUGUUUUGAAUAUCACCGUUUUUGAUGUGCUGACCUUAUUUACGAUUUAUACUUUAUGCGAAGUUUUUUGAACGUCGUUUCUUAUUUUACGACAACGCUUCUGAAGAUGACUAAUUAGUCGAAACAUGUAAAGCGGAUUUACUUAUAAUAAACCAGUAUAAAAGUACAA